rnacentral:rRNA from 1 species
UCCGUAGGUGGAUAAUUAAGUCAGAGGUGAAAUCCUGCAGCUCAACUGUAGAAUUGCCUUUGAUACUGGUUAUCUUGAGUCAUUAUGAAGUGGUUAGAAUGUGUAGUGUAGCGGUGAAAUGCAUAGAUAUUACACAGAAUACCGAUUGCGAAGGCAGAUCACUAAUAAUGUACUGACACUGAUGGACGGAAGCGUGGGGAGCGAACAGGAUUAGAUACCCUGGUAGUCC